rnacentral:SRP_RNA from 1 species
CAUCGGUCCCCUCGCAACACUACGCUGUGAACCCGGCCAGGCCCGGAAGGGAGCAACCGCAGCAGCAGACGUGUGUGCCGGGGUGUGGCUGGUGCGG